rnacentral:misc_RNA from 1 species
GCCAGUACUUCUCAUCAUCAAUACCCAAUAUAACAGCUCCCUCAGCAAGGAACAGAGUCAUAUGGCUAGUAAGAUUAAACGGAGCCGUCAGCCAAUAUCCCGGUGGCACAUUGAGCUGCCCUCCACCUUUCUUCCCAAGUUUAGCAAUAGCUAAUAUUGCCUUCUCAAACGCCUCCGUAUUAACAGUUACACCAUCCCCAACCCCACCAAAGUCCGUCAAGUUAAACGCCACCGGCCGGAACUUCGGCACCUCCCUCGCCGGGAAAACCCGCCGGAAAAUCAAGAUUCCGGCGGUAGCAUCAACCUGCCACCAGAAAACGGUUACCAAGAAAGCGAUCCACACAGCAGUGAUAAUGGCUUUGUGGGUGGUGAAAACUGACGGCACCCAUCGACGUGGGUGGUGAUGGGGUUGCGUCCACCGCCACCAAAACGACGAUGU